CCCAGGUCCGGUUACACCUGCCUGACUGGGCAAGGCAUCCUCUGAAUCUUUCUGACACCAGCCUCUUUCCUGAUCGCCUUCUUGUGUUGACAUAUGCCUUUGGAGCCCUGGGUCAGCAUCUAAGAAGGUUGUCUGCCAUGAAGCUUACCUGCUGGAGGGCCCACACAGAGGUGGAAGGAGGAUUGGAUGCCCCAAGAGCCUGACCUUUUGCAGGCACCCACUGUUGGAGUCUCCUGGGCCAGAUGUGCAAGUGAGCAAACCUACCAAGGAUUCGAGUUCUCGACAUUGAACUGCCUCUGUGACCUGGAGCGAAGCUGACCCAGACUGAGCCCCUGAGCCCUGCCCUCACUACAGAUCAGUGAGCAAAAUAAAAGCUGUGGUUGUCUAAACCACUAGUUUUUGGAAGGUG